CUUAGAAAAAAGCAUACCUGUUGAAAAGCAGGGACGCAAAGCCACGGGUCUAAAACACUAGUGUUAUGAUGGCCGGACUGCCUGG
rnacentral:ncRNA from 1 species